rnacentral:rRNA from 1 species
UACGUAGGGUGCGAGCGUUAAUCGGAAUUACUGGGCGUAAAGCGUGCGCAGGCGGUUUUGUAAGUCAGAUGUGAAAUCCCCGGGCUUAACCUGGGAACUGCGUUUGAAACUACAAGGCUAGAGUGUGGCAGAGGGGGGUGGAAUUCCACGUGUAGCAGUGAAAUGCGUAGAGAUGUGGAGGAACACCGAUGGCGAAGGCAGCCCCUGGGUUAACACUGACGCUCAGGCACGAAAGCGUGGGGAGCAAACAGG